rnacentral:lncRNA from 1 species
CAGGGCAGCCUACAUGGGCUUCAUGCCUCAGUCCCCCACUCAAGAUGUUAAAUGCUAAAAGGGAACUGAUGUAGACUUCUAAAACAGACUGCCCCAAAAACUGCCCUGAGAAAUGGGAGUGGCCACUUCAUUAGGAAAGGACUUUAAAAUGCAAACGGCCUGGAAAAAUAUUUGCUAUGUCUUUGCCCAGUGCCAGGCCCAGUAAUUACUUGAUAAGGUGGGUCAAAUUGGAGCUUUAGCUGCUGGCCUACACCACAGCCACAGCAAUGCAGGAUCCAAGCCACAUCUUCGACCUACAUCACAGCUCACGGCAUCGCCAGAUCCUUAACCAAAUGAGUGAGGCCAGGGAUUGAACUCGAAACCUCAUGGUUACUAGUCGGAUUUGUUUCUGCUGCACCACGACAGGAACUCCCAGGAAUGCAUUAUAAUUUUAUUUUCUAUUUUUUGCUCUUUAGGGCUGUACCCGUGGCAUAUGGGGGUUUCCAGGCUAGGGGUCCAAUCCGAGCUACAGCUGCCAGCCAAGAUCCAAGCUGUUUGCCAGAUCCAAGCUGCGUCUGCAACCUACACCACAGCUCAUGGCAACACCAGAUCCUUCACCCACUGAGCAAGGCUCCAGGGAUCAAACCUGCAACCUCAUGGUUCCUAGUCAGAUUCAUUUCUGCUGCACCACUGCAGGAACUCCAGAAAUUCACUAUUUUUAUAUCCCACUUUGAGUAAUAAAUAGAAGCUGUGUUUGACAGGCACAUUAUUAGACCUUGUAGGUCCAUAACAAUUCCACCCCACCCCACGCCCGCAAUAAUUCAAGGUAUCUCUUCCUACUAAUGCAUCCUCCUGGAACAUUAUGAAGAAGAAAAGGCCACAGAACCACAAAGCUAAAGCAAACCUGACAUCAUCUAGUCCCAGGGUUAUUUUUGUCUUCAGCUGUGAAAUCUUUCCUCUCGCCAAACAAAAACUUACACAGGGGGGCUGAUAAACACACACAAGUUGCUGUUCUGGUUUGAGCAGAAGAGACACAGAGUUGCUCCAAUUUGUCUUCCUCCAACUCCUCCAAGAAAGCAAAGGGCAUUUCCAAAUCCCAGUUCCAGCCUCAUCUCAGAUUAUUCUAGAAGCAAGGAAACUGGGGCGCAGAAAAAGGACUUGCCUUGGCCAGGCUCACCCACCUCCCACAGCACCACGCGUUUCUAUUUGAGCUCAACCCCUGUCCCCUCCCUGGCUUCGCAUUCCUCCAGGGCCCUUAUGAGAUGCUGUGUAUUUAUGCUAAGUGUUUAUGUUUUUAAAUACCCUACUUUAUUCUGAGACCCUGGAAGGAAUGAACUAGUCUUACUCAUUCGUGUUCCACCCCCCACCCCAAACCCCUUGGCACCCAGCACCCUGCUUUAUACCAAGCAGGUCCUCUGGCCACAAUGACUGAUGUGGACUGAAAUUGCCCCACCUGAAUGAUGGCCCACAUUAGGUUAAGCACUAGCUGCUAGGAAUAUAAGAAAUUUGAUUUUGGUGUGUUGAAGUUUCGAUAUCCAAGUUAAUAUAUAAUGGAAUCUUUUAUUUUCAAAAUCAAAGUGGACCUAAGAAUAACCCAUAGUGGCUCAUCAGAGUGUUAAAUAUCAAAGAACAGGGCUUCCCAAACGUUAACAGGUAUCAGAAUCACGUGAAGCGUUUGUUAAUUAACCUCUCCUUCUGCAGCUGGGCUGCUAAAGAGACCAGGAAAGUGCUAGGAUACAGUAAAAAGAAUUGGGAUUUGUCACAAUUCCUGCUAAAUAUUUCACAGAGUUGCCAUCAUUCAGCUCAUUAGGAAACUGUCUUAGAUUGCCAUGCUGUAGCGUUGAAAUUUUAUGUCACUUCCUUGCCAGGUGAUUCAGCCAGCUAUCACACCCCACUAUAAGCAAUCCUCUAGUCACUGGACGUCUUGAAAUGUAAGGUACAUUUCUCCCGAUAACCAUACAAAAUGAAGGAAAAUUCAGAAAUAAUGCCAUUUGCAGCAACACGGAUAGACCUAGAGAUUAUCAUCCUUGGCAAAGUCGGUCAGAAAGAGAAAGACAAAACCAUAUGAUAUCACUUAGAUGUGGAAUUUAAAAUACCACAUAAAAGAGCUUAUCAACAAAACAGACUCAUGCAUGGAGCAAAUAGACUUAUAGUUGCCAAGGGGGUAGGUAGGGGAGGGAUGGACUGGGAGUUUGGGGUUAGCAGAUGCAAACUAUUAUAUAUAGGAUGGAUAAACAGGGUCCUAUCGUACAGCGCGGGGCAAUAUAUUCAAUAUCCUGAGAUUAACAGUAAUGGAAUAGAAUACAAAAAAGAAUGAAUAUAUAUAAAAAUGAAUCACUUCACUGUACAGAAGAAAUGAACCACCAUUGUAAAUCAAAUGCACUUCAGUGAGUUUUCUUUAAAAGUAAAAAUAAAAUGAAGGAAAAUUCAGUCAUAUUAUGAGGGGAGAAAAAAACCCUCCCUUUUCAUAAGGAUCUAAUCUUGACCUUCUUUGCGUGAUUACUACCGUCAUCCCCUUCCACCACCAACAGAGAAAUUUGUUUUCCCUUAAUUUGUAUGAGAAUUUAUGCAAAAUCAAUUCAGUUCAACAAACAGCAUGGCCAAGCCAACCACUGUGCUGAGAAAAAUCAAGUAUGUCUAAGAUCCAGCCUUCAUUCCAGGGGCCUGCACAGUUUGUGUAAAGCAAGGGAUGUGGCCCAAACGUGACUCAAAGUAGGUGCUUGAUAAACUUUGUCCUCCGAGAGAAAACCGGUCUACCUGGUGGGCGUUUACCAUCCAGAACUUUCUCAUAGGAGUUACGUAUUUGCUCUAUUUGUACUCACCUAAUUAAGCUUUCUCUACUCACAGUUGGAGCAAUUAAAACUCUGGAGGGUUUCAGUGUCUUAUCCUCAAGCAAUCCGUGGGCCGAAACCAAGAUUAGAACUGCGACUCCUCCUCAUUCCCAGCAAGGAACCAUCCUUACAGAAAUUCUCCCACCCCCUCCCAGCCUUUUGUUAGCCUUCCUGGUUUUUAGGUGCUAUCAAUGACGUCAAGAAAGAUUCCUAUUCUCAUUUUCUUCAAUAUUUUCAUGUAUUUAGAAAAGGAGGUAUCCCUUCUCCAUCCUUUAUUUCUACCCAGGAGAGGAGGUGAGUCACUCCAUUGAGGCUUGUAACGGAUCUUGCUCCACCACGGACGUUCCCCAGAUGCUGCAAAGGCAGCAGGCAUGAGCAGAUGGCAGUGAUUCCCAACCACCAAAUUGGCCUUUAUUCCAAGCAGUCAUUUAUGGAGUUUUCAUUGCUCUACAAAAACCUUAGUCCACCUGAGGUCACUUACCCAAAGGUUGUGUUUUAUUCUAAGUUGUUACCAAAUUUGAAUUGGCCGAUAGGAAACAAAAGGUAUGAAUGGAUGACAUUUUUGGUCUGGAACUACUUGACUUUUUUUUUUUUUUUUUUUAAAACCAAGCCCAACUCUGCAUGCCUUGUCUUAAAUCACAAAAUUUCUCUCAACUUACUCUCAUUCUGCUGUGGAUCAUACCAACAUAGAAACUGUCGACAAAUGAACUGUUACACUUAGAAUGGAUAAGCAGGAGUUCCCAUAAUGGCUCAGAGGAAAUAAAUCUGGCUGGUAUCUAUAAGGACGCAAGUUCGAUCCCUGGCCUCACUCAAUGGCCUAAGGAUCCAGCAUUCCUGUGGCUGUGGCUUAGGCUAGUGGCUACAGCUCCGAUUCGACCCCUAGCCUGGGAAUCUUCAUAAGCCGUGGGUGAGGCCCUAAAAAAGACAAAAAAAAAAAAAACCAAAUAUAGAAUGGAUAAGCAGUGAGGUCCUACUGUACAGAAUAGAGAAUUACAUCCACUCUCUUUGGAUAGAACACGAUGGAAGAUACUAUUAUGAGAAGAACAAUGUGUGUAUGUGUGUAUAUAUAUAUGUAUAUGACUGGGUCACUAUGCUAUUCAGCAGAAAUUGACACAAUACUGUAAAUCAACUAAACUCUAAUAAAAAUAAAAUUUAUUAAAAAAAGAAAUUGCCAACAGAUGUAAUACAAUUUCACUUCUUUGAAAAUGAAGGUACUGGAGUUCCCGUCAUGGCUCAGUGGUCAAAGAACGCAACUAGCAUCGGUGAGGACACGGGUUCGAUCCCUGGCCUCGCUUAGUGGGUUAAGGACCCAGCGUUGCUGUGGCUCUGGUGUAGGCUGGCAGGUACAACUCCAAUUGAACCCCUAGCCUGGGAACCUCCAUAUGCCAUGGGUGUGGCCCU